GACGAACGCUGGCGGCGUGCUUAACACAUGCAAGUCGAACGAUGAAGCCGGAGCUUGCUCUGGUGAAUUAGUGGCGAACGGGUGAGUAACACGUGAGUAACCUGCCCUUGACUCUGGGAUAACUGCUAGAAAUGGUAGCUAAUACCGGAUACUACCCUCGGAGGCAUCUCCAGGGGGUGGACAGAAUUUGGGUCAAGGAUGGACUCGCGGCCUAUCAGCUAGUUGGUGAGGUAACGGCUCACCAAGGCGACGGCGGGUAGCCGGCCUGAGAGGGUGACCGGCCACACUGGGACUGAGACACGGCCCAGACUCCUACGGGAGGCAGCAGUGGGGAAUAUUGCACAAUGGGCGCAAGCCUGAUGCAGCAACGCCGCGUGAGGGAUGACGGCCUUCGGGUUGUAAACCUCUUUUAGUAGGGAAGAAGCGAAAGUGACGGUACCUGCAGAAAAAGCACCGGCUGACUACGUGCCAGCAGCCGCCGUAA
rnacentral:rRNA from 1 species